CGUCAGCAGGGUCAUCAGAAUCUGAAUACCAUUGACAUUUAACUGUGGAAGGAGAAAGGUGUGUCUGUUCUGUCUGUGGGGUGCUCGAUGGUGAAGAUUUGCAGACUGAAAUCUCAAAA